rnacentral:rRNA from 1 species
AACGAACGCUGGCGGCAGGCCUAACACAUGCAAGUCGAACGCCCAGCAAUGGGAGUGGCGCACGGGUGAGUAACGCGUGGGAAUGUACCCUUUAGUACGGAAUAACCUCGGGAAACUGGGAUUAAUACCGUAUACGCCCUUCGGGGGAAAGAUUUAUCGCUAAAGGAUCAGCCCGCGUGAGAUUAGAUAGUUGGUGGGGUAAUGGCCUACCAAGUCUACGAUCUCUAGCUGGUCUGAGAGGACGACCAGGCACACUGGAACCGAGACACGGUCCAGACUCCUACGGGAGGCAGCAGUGGGGAAUAUUGGACAAUGGGCGAAAGCCUGAUCCAGCCAUGCCGCGUGAGUGAUGAAGGCCUUAGGGUUGUAAAGCUCUUUCGGUGGUGACGAUAAUGACGGUAACCACAUAAGGAGCCCCGGCUAACUUCGUGCCAGCCGCCGCCGUAA